rnacentral:rRNA from 2 species
GUUUUGGUUAUGGCUCAGAUUGAACGCUGGCGGAAUGCUUUACACAUGCAAGUCGAACGGCAGCAUAGAGAGCUUGCUCUCUGAUGGCGAGUGGCGAACGGGUGAGUAAUAUAUCGGAACGUGCCUAGUAAUGGGGAAUAACUAGCUGAAAGGUUAGCUAAUGCCGCAUACGACCUACGGGUGAAAGCAGGGGAUCUUCGGACCUUGCGUUAUUAGAGCGGCCGAUAUCUGAUUAGCUUGUUGGUGGGGUAAUGGCCUACCAAGGCGACGAUCAGUAGCUGGUCUGAGAGGACGAUCAGCCACACUGGAACUGAGACACGGUCCAGACUCCUACGGGAGGCAGCAGUGGGGAAUUUUGGACAAUGGGGGCAACCCUGAUCCAGCCAUUCCGCGUGAGUGAAGAAGGCCUUCGGGUUGUAAAGCUCUUUCGCAAGAGAAGAAAACUUGCUAUCUAAUAAAUAGUAAGUAUGACGGUAUCUGAC